UACGAAGGGGGCUAGCGUUAUCCGGAUUCACUGGGUUUAAAGGGUCCGUAGGCGGAUCUGUAAGUCAGUGGUGAAAUCUCAUAGCUUAACUAUGAAACUGCCAUUGAUACUGCAGGUCUUGAGUAAGGUAGAAGUAGCUGGAAUAAGUAGUGUAGCGGUGAAAUGCAUAGAUAUUACUUAGAACACCAAUUGCGAAGGCAGGUUACUAUGUCUUAACUGACGCUGAUGGACGAAAGCGUGGGGAGCGAACAGG
rnacentral:rRNA from 1 species